rnacentral:sRNA from 2 species
CUGAAAGUGGCUGAAAAAUUAAUGGGAUGAAAUAGAUCUUAGAUCAUAAACCGAUGAUCUAGUGAUUUUUAUUUUGUUUUGUUUUAUUUUGUUUUUGUUUUUGGGUGGGACGAUCUUCUGAGAAGCCCUUGGUUAGCCAAGGUUCAUCUGUUGGCACUGCUGUGCGCCAUCCGAACGCAGUGCAUAUGAGCUGUCUAAUACACGUACGGUCGGUGCCGCAAACAUAUCCAUGGGUGACCUUACUUCUGCUCCUUCCGCCCUUUUUGGAAGUGCUUAAAUGGGUUGUGGGAAGCACAACGUUGAUUUCUGGGGCAAAAUUGCCUGUCCACAAUGGAAAGCCCUAAUGGGGAGACACUAAUCCAGGGGAAAACAUGGAAGAGAAAUUCGAAAAGAGUGAAAAAAGAAAAAAGAAAAACAAUAUGUCUCGAAGUUAUCUGAGAAACUGACACUGGUGAUUCGUAGAAAUCAUUACCCGGAAAUCGGGCUUCCCCAGCACGGCUGCUGCAGAAACUAGGAUUAACGAAUAGAGCGAAUCAACGUCUUAACCAGCAAGCCUGGGCAAUGGCUCAAGGGAUAUGUCCAUCAUGAUGCAGAAAUGUCUUCCUAGGCUGGAAAAUCGACUGGUGGUUCGGUCGAAAGACGUGAACGAGAAGACAAUGGGCCUAUGAUUUUUGUCCCGCAGCAACUCCAGGUGCAUAUGCAAGUAGCAUCGCCGGACGGGGUCAUCGGCAUGCGAGACUUUAAUGUCAGGGCGUGAAUGAACAUGAGCACUGAUGAUUAUUUUCUCCCACCUUGAUAUGUCAAGUUGUCAGCAUAUUGUUAGCGCGUG